rnacentral:rRNA from 1 species
UACGUAGGGGGCUAGCGUUGUCCGGAAUCAUUGGGCGUAAAGCGCGUGUAGGCGGUCCGGUAAGUCCGCUGUGAAAGUCGGGGGCUCAACCCUGGGAUGCCGGUCGAUACUGCCGGACUAGAGUUCGGAAGAGGCGAGUGGAAUUCCCGGUGUAGCGGUGAAAUGCGCAGAUAUCGGGAGGAACACCAAUGGCGAAGGCAGCUCGCUGGGACGUUACUGACGCUGAGACGCGAAAGCGUGGGGAGCAAACAGG